UUUAAUUAUGAGGAAUGAAACUAAGGUCUUGGUGCAUACUACAUAUGUACCCUACUAGUCAGUUACAUGGUAGAAUUUGAACCUAUGUUUUUAUCGUAGCCAUUACAAUUUAUGUAAUUUGGGAUAAUUCAUUAUGUAAUUUGGGAUGAUAAUCCUUGUUUUUGUAAAUAGAAAAAAGACAAUAUACAUUUAAAGAAAUGCACAUUUAUUUUCAAACUAUAUUCUAGCCAAUAUAAGUGGGCUUAUUAGUCAGGGUUCUCUAGAGUCAAAGAACUUAUGGAUAGUCUCUAUAUAGUAAAGGAAUUUAUUGAUGACUUACAGUCUGCAGUCUAAUUCCCAACAAUGGUUCAGUAGUAGUUGUGAAUGGAAGUCCAAGGAUCUAGCAGUUGCUCAGUCCCACACGGCAAGCAGGCAAAAGAGUGAGAGCAUCUCCCUUCUUCCAAUGUCCUUAUAUGGUCUCCAGUAGAAGGUGUAGCCCAGAUUAAAGGUGUGUUUUACCACACCUUUAAUCCCAGAUGACCUUGAACUCGGGGAUCUCCCUGCCUUAAUCUUUUGGAAUCCAUAGCCACUAUGCCUCAAGAUCUCCAUACCAAGAUCCAGAUCAGAAACUUCUAUCUCCCAGCCUCCAGAUUAGGGUCACUGGCGAGCCUUCCAAUUCUGGAUUGUAGUUCAUUCCAAAUAUAGUCAAGUUGGCAACCAGGAAUAGCCACUACAGUGGGCAUUGAUACGAAAACAAUGUGUUUGAUUAAAGACAGUAUCAACAGUACAUUUGUAUCAUAUAUUUCAACUAUCUUUACAUAGCCUGAUUACUAGAACUAGAAUUUGAAGGCAUAUUGGCAGUAGCCUUAAUUAUUAGGAAGUCUAGUUUUCAAAAGUCUACCAAUUCCUAAAUGGAUUUUACUCUGGAAUUCUUUCUUGGCUAUAUUUUUGUUGCAUCUUUUAGUGUGAAUGAAAUAUUUGAAAUUUAGGUAUGGCAUCAGCAAAGAAGGUAGUCCAAACAGCAGGGAACUUAAAUUCCUGUCCGAUUUCCAGCUCCAUCCUCUGGACAGCUUCCUUUGCUGUCUCAUUUUUUCUGUUUGGGGUGGGGGGCAUAGGGGGAGGACAACCAUUCUCUUCAUCACCUCCAUUUAAUCAUAUCCUACAUGCCCAGCUUGGUUUCUACGUCUGCACCUUUCUCAAGAAUCCCUCUGUAACUCCUGAACUCUAGUCCUUGAAGGUCACGCACAGUUUCUUCUUUGUAAAGAUUUCCCAUGCAUAUGCCACUGUUACUUGUUUUUGCUUCAUCCCAGUUAAAAAUUACACUUUUCACAUUCUACAUCUUAAUCUUGGAAAUUCCCUUCUCUCUUCUACCCUGUUCAUCCUCAUUUUCUCCAAAGAUGCCAAGAUUCUCUUCAAGUUGUUUCCAUCUAUGAAGUCCUUUGCAGCUCAAGGUCACACCUUGAUUCAUUGCUUGACUCAAAACAGAAGUAUUAGGGGGAAAGUGGAUUUUAUUCUACCAUCCUCACUGGCUAAUAGUUCCACAGAAGGGUGAACUGGAGAGUUGUCCAGAAAUACCAACGCCCUGAUGUCUUCCUCAUGAAAUCCUAGAUCAUUAAGUUGAAAUGCUAAACAAAAUUGUGAAAGAACCAUUCUGAAAACAAUUCCUUUGUGAACCACAUGUCUUUACCAGGUUUAUGUAUCACAAAUGAUGUGUCUUCUUUCACACUUUUGGACUGAAAAAGUGACGACUUUUUUCCAGAGCCCUCAUGGUCCCCAAACGAAGCUAUGAAGGGCCCCCUGAGCACACCCGGAGCAUGAGGAGGGCGGGGCACAGACAAUGAGCACAGCUAGGAGGCCACCAUACCAAGCAAUGACCCCAUAUACUAGCUGGCCAAUGGCUCCAAAGCUCCGUAGGAAUGGCCAGGAAGCAAAGCAGCUAUGCCCUCCUUUCGGUCACUAUGCAAGGCCACCCUAAGCUCCAGCAGUUAACUCUCUCGGGGCUCGCACUAGCACAGACUGGUAAACACUGGCUUCGCUGGCUUCUCUGUAAAAGGGUAAGAGGGGGCUAUCUGAAGCCUCUGAAACAUUUCUGCCUCCUGUAGAGUGCACACUUAAGUCCUCUUGAAGGAAAGGAUGAUACCUGUCUCCAGGAAGCCUAGCUGGCAGGGCGAUGCGAGGCGAGGCUCUCCCUCAGCCUCUGGCUGGUGGUCAUGUAGCACUGGGCCGCUGAGGUAAGAAGACACGGUCUUAUUUGGCCACCUCUGCUAAGCGUGUUGGCCGGUUCGAGGAGGAGGGACCAAGAGGAAGGUCAGGAGAAGUUUUCUGCUGUGCCUCUCUCAGGGAAGCAAAGAUCAGCGAUGCAAAACCCACAAACAAGACCCACUGCAUUGUAUGUCUAGCUCUAUGAGCAAGCCUAGCUUAGCCUCUGUCACUGUCCAUAGAGUCCUGUUUAAACCCUUCAAAUGUCACAUGUUUUCCAUGGGUCUCGCCUCAGCAUGUAGGUCUGUCUCUGCUGACUUCACACUGUCAAUCAACCAGAGUCUUCAGAAGUGGCAAGAAACUGCAGCACACCACCGGAAGCUUUUUUUUUUUUUUUUGGUGCAUUUCUCUCUAUGGAGUCCUGACAAAUGUUGUGCGUUGUUAGCAAAGAAUCCAUCACGUGUCCUUUCACGUGCUUGUGUUAGUAGAACAUCCUUUUUUUUCUUUUUUUUUUCUUUUUUUUUUUUUUUUUUUUUUUGGUUUUUGUUUUGUUUGUUUGUUUUUCGAGACAGGGUUUCUCUGCAUAGCCCUGGCUGUCCUGGAACUCACUUUGUAGGCUAGGCUGGUCUCGAACUCAGAAAUCUGCCUGCCUCUGCCUCCCAAGUACUGGGAUUAAAGGUGUGCGCCACCACGCCUGCAGAACAUCCUUUCAUUUGCGUCUGCUUCAGCUGCUCAUUCCUUCAUGAGUCUGCCUGAGCUUCCCACACCUGUGUUCAUUUUAACUAAAUGUUCCUUCACUUGUUUGACUGGCCCACUUUGUGUCAGGCUCCUUGGGAUCCCAGAAAGCUUUCUUCCCAGCAAAACACCAUCCAAUCAACUUUCCAAAGAACCCUUAAGUUUCCACUUCAAUCUAUAACUCUGGUUCCAAGGGGAUCUGAUGCCCUCGAUAGGCAUCAGGCAUGCAAGUGUUAUAGAGACAUACAUGCACUCAAAACACCCAUAGACAUAAAAGAGAAACCAAAACUUGGUAAUUUUUUUUAUUUCUUUUUUAAGAGUUGCCUACACACAUGUAUGUAUAUCACUUGUGUGCCUGGUGUUGGUGAAGGUCAAAAGAAGGGUUCAGAUCCACUGGAAUUGGAUUUACAGACAGUUGUGAGCUACCCUGUGGUUGGUAACUCAAGAGGCUGUCUGCAAGAGCAGCAAGUGCUCUCAACUGCUGAACCAGUUUAAAGGGAUAGGCAAGUCAGAACCUUUUCUGGUCUUCUUUCUUACGGUAAGUAGCAUAUCUUAAGAUCAUCGUGACUUUUUUAAUGACAUGUGCUUCUCUUCUUCCCACUGCCCCAUCUUCAGGGCCUUUGGAAGAUAUUUUCGUUGAAUAUAAAUCAGAGCAGCCCAUCCUUCUUGUGCAUGUAUGUGUCUUGUGUGCAUGUGUGUGUGUUAUGUGCAUGUGUGUAUUAUGUGCAUGUGUACAUGCAUGUGCAUGUAUGUGUCACUGUGUAGAGUACUGGAACACUCAGCCAUUUACUCAGCCAUUUAUGUUGAUGAGAGGUCAACUUCAGGUGUCUUCCUUUAUUGCCCUCUGAGCUGUGUUUCUGAGACGGUGCCACGACUGGCUGUUCUUUCCGUGCUGGGGAAGGAGCUCGGUUCCCACGCUUGCACAGCAUACACUUGAUUGGAUGAGCCACCCACCCUGUUUUUAAGUUUGUAUUUAUUUUUAUUAAUUAAAUUUUUUCUUUGACAAUUCAUACAUGAAUGCUACAUUCUGAUUACUCUCAUCCCCCAGUCUCUUUCUUCUGUCAGCUCUCCUUUUCUCUCUAAGACUCCCUUUCCCUCAUUCACAUCUUUUUGUUUUAAAACCCGCUGGGUUUAAUCAGGCCUGUGUGUGAACAUGGAAUUGGAACUAUAUAUUGGAGCCUUCAGGGUUUGUUUGGUUUUCUUCCCCAAUACACAAGUUUCUCUGUGUAGCCCUGGCUGUCCAGAAAUUCACUCUGUAGACCAGGCUGGCCUCAAACCCUCAGAGAUCCACCUGCCUCUGCCUCUCAAGUGCUAGGAUUAAAGGCAUGUGCCACCACACCUGGCUUGGAGCCUUCAGUUUUGAUAGAGUCUUACUAUCCAGCCCGCACAUUCCUUGAAUGGAUGAUCCUCCUGCUAAGCCUUUCAAGUAGAUAGAAUUAUAGGGCUGUGCCACCAUACCCAGCAGAACCUAAAUUCUCAGAAAUUCAAGGCAGUGAAGGGAAGAAGGAAUGUGCAGAUUAGAAGACUGUCUUUGUUAGGGUUUCUAUUGCUACAAAGAAACACAGUGUCCAUAUGAAAAUUGGAGAGGAAAAGGUUUAUUUUGCUAACACUCGCACAUCAUAGUCCAUCACUAAGGGAAGUAUCGACAGGACCUGGAGGCCAUGAAAGGGUGCUGCUUAUUGUCUUGUUCUCCAUAGCUUGCUCAGUCUGCUUUCUUAUAGCAUCCAGGACCACAAACCCAAGGGUAAUACCACCCACAAUGAGAUGGACCCUCCGGCAUCAAUUAUCAAUCAAGAAAACGAGCACCACUGGCUUGCCCACAGUCUGGUGAGGGCAUUUUACCAAUUGAGAUUAUCUUGUCCAAACUGAUGUUAGUGUGUUUCAGGUUGUCAUAGAACUAGCCAGGGCAAAGACUGAAAGUAGAGCAAGAACAGGGAAGAAAAGCAGAAACCAUACAGCUAGGUGAACACUGCGUAGAAAAAGUUAGAGGGAAGAGGCUAAUGCCCGUGGAAGUCCCAGUAGUAGCUGUGAGGACAAGUACUGCUCCUCUUUCUAGUGCUUAGUCCCCUUUGUGGACUGGUACAGAGAUAAAGUAUAUUUACGGGCAGACAACAGACACCUGCUAGCCUCUGGACUAUUGUAAAGAAUGAAGGAUGUGUCAAAGUAAUUGGCAAGUAGAUUAGCAAAACUUUUAAUCUAUUUAAUCUGCUUUCUCUGAAUAACUUCCCCUACCCUAGAGAAAAAUAGCCAAUAGGAGAAAUUGUAUUCAGUUCCUUAGUUUUUGGAGAGAAAAGCCUGUAGUAGCCUUCCCUAGGGAUUUAUUACAGUUAACUUUCUUUUUUGAGUUGCACUUUCAUUAUUUAUCCCCUGGCUGGCCUAUAACUUGGUCUGUGAUAUGUAGACCAAGAUGGCACCCGACUCAAAGAUCUGCCUGACUCUGUCUCCAGAGUGCCCGGAUUAAAGGUGUGUGUCACCACACUAGACUUCUACAGUUAAUGUUUAAUGGGGGACAAGGAUGUUGUCUUCAGUAGUAUAGCCACUGCUCAGGUGCCCAUGCUCCAGUAACCCCGAGGAGGCUCACUCAUGGACAUCUUAAAGUAUCACAGUGAAGCCACUGACAAAGGAAUGCAAGGAGAGUCUGGCAGAAAAAGCAGAUUAAGAAGAUGUGACUGUCGGACCUUGCCAGUGGCCUGAAGUAGGUGGUAUACAGAGAGGCAAAGGUGUGCUGAGGAACUGCAGAUGUCUUUAGACAUCUCAUUUAUUAGCAAUAAGUGCUCUUAACCACUGAGCCAACUCUUUGGCCUGAGGAACAGACUUCUUAACAGCUUUCUUCCUCCUCCUCCUCUUCCUCCUCCUCUUCUCCUCCUCUUCCUCCUCUUCCUCCUCCUCCUCCUCCUCCUUCUUUCUCUCUCUCUCUCUCUCUCUCUCUCUCUCUCUCUCUCUCUCUCUUCCCUCCUUCCCUCCCUCUCUCUCUCUGAAAUAUUGAUGGCCCAAUAUUCAAGUCUUUUUGUUACUUCCUUCAGUGUCUCAUGCUUCCUUUUGGGGGGUACAUACUUAUUCCUCCUCCUACCUCUAGUCCACCUUCAUGAAGUUCUGUGAUAAAAGGAUAGACAUGGUUUCUAGGUUAUAAUCCAUGUCUGGGGAAGGAUGCAAUGCUCUUUCGAGAAAUAAAAGAGUCUGAGUGAAAGCCAGGAGAGUCUGAACCACAAGAUGGAUCUCAGGUUAUUUACUUUGCAAUAUUUACCAGGAUCUACCAGGACAACUGAGAAGAAGUACUCGAGAAGUAACUGAGCCAUUCAUUAUGAGAGGGGUAAGAGACUUCAUAAACAUUCCUCACUAGUUACUGAUAGUAAUUUGUUGAACCAAAAUAUAAUGGGCAUGUUUUGAUACCCAGCUCUGUGGAACUGUGAAAGCAGCUUUGAUAACAGUUAUGCUUUCUCCGAUACUGUACCAGCUGUGUGAUUUAGCCUAGGGUAGAGAUACAUCUGCAUCUUAGAACCCUGGAAAUAACAUCAUGAUUUCUGUUUCUCAGAACAGUUGAGAGGAAGAGAAGAAAUGAAGCAAUGUUUGUGGCCACCUCCUUCUCACAAAAUAUCCAAGGAAUUGGGAUCUGAGUUGGCCACUAGAGGCAUGAGAUACCCUAGAGGUUUAAUGCAGGCAACCAUGGGGGUUUAAUGAGAACAAUCAUUUAUUGGGGCAAAAGGGUAGGUGGAAGAUUUCAUUUCCUAUCAGGAAAAAAAAGUUCAUUUUCUAUUGUAUACUAGAGUCCUUGAGUACUUGAAUUCCAUAUCUCUUUAUUUUUGCCUAACUUAAAAAUAAAUAUAAGAAAAUCAAAAGUCACACACACACACAUACACACCCCAACUACUAAGAAACCUCACAGGGAACUGAUUCCAAGAGCUGGUAUAUACUUAACUCUUAAUUACAAGCAGACUAUUACUGGUACAACCUGAAGAGUGUCAAAUCUCUACUGAAUAAAACAAGACCUGCCUGUGUUUUAUAAAUGAGCUCAGGAUAUUGUGGGAAAUGAGAACUCUCCUGUGGUUCUUCUCUACCCACAGCCAGGCCUGAUCAAGAGCAGACAAGCAGCAAAGCCCAGACAGUGGCACCUGAGCUCUUGUGAGCUCCAUCUCUAGGUGAGCUGUGCUUUCUCCAUGUGUUGCCCGCCUUUCUCUGCUGCCCAGGAUUCGGAUGCCCUGGGAUGGGCUCAGAACUAUAUUAAACCAGAUUACUGUAACCUGGGAACCGUGUACCUCCUGGGCUACUUCCUUACUCCUUUCUGCCUUGUCGCUUCUUAAGGCACUCUCAUUCAUCAGGGGAUGUUUUCUGAGAGAAUUAAUAGUUUUUUUUCCUCAUAAUAUGAGCAUAGGUUGUGCUUAUGGUGAAAAGUGUCUAUGAGUGACUUUCUGAAGCUAAGAUUGUGCUCAUAUAUGCUUAGGAGGUAGAAGUUGGGAGGACUUUAAAGUGAUAAAAUUAGUAUAGUAUAGCAUAGUGUCAUGUAGUAAAUAUGUAAACAGUCAUUUAAAGACAAUAUAUGUAACUAUGCCAUGAUUUUAUAGUGCUGAUGCCACAGGCCUGUUUACCCCAGAAUGAAAUUGAGAAAUACACUGUCCCAUUUAGCCUCUGAGCAGGAAGUCUUGUAACUCCUCUCUGAUCUUAUAGGACCACUGCCUUAUGGACUGUUGUUGACUGCAACAUUCUUAUGCAGUGCGUGACUGCAGCUGCAAGCUGUUAACCCUUCCAUGCCUUUCUGACUGCACAGUUGGUAGCCAAGUGGUCUAACUGCUUCUGUAGACACAAGUUCUGGGUCAAAAUACGCUCUCUUCUUCAGAGCUUGUUAAAAUUUGAAGCUGUGGCUGUGUACUUUUUCCAGGAAGUAUGGGAGCUAUUCAGAAAGUUCUCCACAACAGCAUAUUGCAGGAAAACUAUGAGGCUGUCCUCUUUCUCUUUUCUCUGUAGACUUUUAAUGAUCUGUCCUCAUGCAAGGUAUGAACUCACUUAUAAAUAGAUAUUAGCCAGAAAGCUACAUUCCACAGACCCUACACAAGAAGGAAGGCUCAAGCAAGGACAUUUGAAUCUCACUUAGAAGGGGGAAUAUGACUAAAACAGGCAGAUGGAGAGAGAGAGGUGAGUGGGAGAGGGAUGGGGAGGGGAAUGGAGAGAGUGCUCAGGGUCAGGUGUGGGGAGAGACAGGAAAGAUGACCAGAGGACCAGGAGAAUGAAUAGAAAUCUGCAACUGGUGGAGGUGGUGCUAGAGACCUGGGGUGGGGGAAACACCUAGAAAUCCAUAGGGGUGACCUUAGCCAUGACUCACAACACUUCACAUCCCCAGAUAUGAAACCCUGAACAGGCCACCUCCUGUAGCCAGGUGUAGUGGCUAUUCCUGGUUGUCAACUUGACAAUAUUUGGAAUGAAAUACAAUCCGGAAUUGGAAGGCUCACCAGUGACCCUUAUCUGGAGGCUUGGAGAUCCUUAUCUGGAUCUUGGUUUGAAGAUCUUGAGCCAUAGUG
rnacentral:lncRNA from 1 species